GUGGAUUAGAUACCCUGGUAGUCCACGCUGUAAACGAUGGGCACUAGGUGUGGGGGGUGUCGACUCCCUCCGUGCGGAAGCUAACGCAUUAAGUGCCCCGCCUGGGGAGUACGGCCGCAAGGCUAAAACUCAAAGGAAUUGACGGGGGCCCGCACAAGCAGCGGAGCAUGUGGUUUAAUUCGACGCAACGCGAAGAACCUUACCUGGGCUUGACAUGUUCCUGAUCUCCCUGGAAACAGGGCUUCCCUUCGGGGCAGGAUCACAGGUGGUGCAUGGUCGUCGUCAACU
rnacentral:rRNA from 1 species